ensembl:lncRNA
CUUAUAACUAACGUUGCAGUCCCUUCACCCUCAUCAAAAGCCACUAAUGGGUUCAGUAAUCAGGUAAUGUAUUUCCCUUCAUCUCCAAGCACAAUACUACUUCCUUUGAUUAUUCAAUGUGACUUCCUGUGAUCGAGGCUGUGCAGUUCACUGAAGGGCUCGGAGACUGUGGUUGUACAUACACGAUGGACAUUUAUUUUGAAGCUGUGUACGGUAUGUGUACAUGGUUGUUGUUUGCACACAUCAUCACAGUGAAAACAGAUCUGCAUUCUCAGUUACAAAGGAAACCGGUAUCUGUCAGUGUCACAAUAAAAAGUCUCAACAAAAGUUCCAUAGUUAAAUGAAUAACAGCUACUUUCAACAAACCUAGUACCCUGGACAUUACCUUAUGGCCUCCAUCUCCAGUAAAUAACUACUAAAAACACAAACAGUCCAAACACAUCAGAGACCAACGGGGGAGCAGCUGAGAAAUAAACCCAUUCUGUCACCAGAUCUCCCGGUUACCCACAAUGCACCUGGAGUUGUCCCUGCCGUAAUGGUGAUCUAAUUAAGGUUAUACUUAGUGGAGUACUACACUAUUUAGUCUCUCUCUCCACGCGUCCAUGCCUGCUGCAGUUGACAGACAGCUCCAGGCUGAGUGAUCCAACCUUAUUUACCCAGGUUGGUCUCUGUGACGUUAACCAUCUCUACCGGAGAGACCUGGCUGGUGCUUGUUAAACAAAAGUCUGUUUUCAAAACCUCGCGUGAACGUGCAUAUAAGAGGAGAACACACUGUCAUUUCCUCAAGAUUACCUCUCCACUUUAUACGCAUCUCUCAGUGGAAUCCAGACACAAGCAAAGGGCCCCGAGGUAAAAUCAAAUGGGUUUAUAACUCCACACCCUUCCCCCCAGGUCCACCACAAAUAAAUAUCUUCUCUUUAUAUCUGGGAGGUUAAAGUUCAGCACAGCAGCGGAGUACAGGAGCCCUCAAGGUCCAAACACCCGCAGCUCGUUAGGGCUUGUGGUUAAUUGAUCCGGGCUCACUCAGCAAGCGGCUCCUGGCCAGCUAUCAUAGGGUUGUUAAAUUAAAAGCUAAUUAGAGGAGGAAGUGACAUCAUGAGACAGGAUUACGCUGCCUGAGUGGGCUCUCAACGAUCACCAGGAGUUCUCACCGGGGGCCCCAAAAACUAGGGGACCUCCACUCUGUUGAUAAGGCCCUUCAAUAUGCUGUAGGUAAGGUUGGUGAGGUGUAAAGAGAGAGCACAACACAGCAUAAAGAGCAUGAUUUUGAAAAAAUAAACAUAAAAAACGUCCCGCCCUCUCUGCACCCUCCCUCCCUAUGUUUCUCAAGCAUUGAGAAUGCUUACAAUCACCACCUGUCUUUGACCGGGUGAAUACAUUACCCAAAUUAGGGAGAGAUGCCCUGAUUGGUCAGAAAUUAACCAGGUGUGGUCUAAAAAUUUAAAUAUUCUAAUACUAUUCUCAAAUUAUCACUCUUAAAUCUUCCCUACAGUACCUUCAAUCGAUGUAUUCUGUCUGAACAAAUGUACAUUAAAUUAAAUGUAUAAAACAGAGUAUGUAUAUAUGGGGCAUUAGCUGGGAGGCUAUUGCUAACGGUGUUGGGGUGUUUGCCACCAUGAGGGCAGGAUAGCAACAAAAGCUUUUUAAUCAUUCUUUACAGCAGAAUACAACUAUUUAAAUAAAUCUGAAACUGUAGAAACAAGGUUCAAGCUACGGUUCACUAGGCUAACCCCCUAGCUUCCAAAAGGUCUUCUGAAAAAAGACACCUGAAAAAAGUAGCUCUAUCAUCGUGCUAUCACCGUAUUGGUUAGUUAGAAACGAGAGCUACAGCCAAGGGUUCUGUUGCCCUCUGCCAGCCACGAGAAGCCGGCUCCCCCAUCCUGAAGCUCAGAAACACCUUGCUAUGGCUCUUUGAAAACACCAGUCAGGGCACUGGUCUCUGUUAGCAUCUACUUUACAAGCUAGGCAGCUAGCGGCUAGGGCCGAGCGACGGAGGGAAGGGAGGGGAGGAGGAGGAGAGGAGGUGGAGGAGAGGAGGUGGAGGACAAGAGGAGGAGGAGGAGAGGAGGUAGAGGACAAGAGGAGGAGGAGGAGAGGAGGUGGAGGAGAGGAAAUGAGAGAGGAGUGGAGGUAACAGUGGAGGACGACGGAAGGUGAAAGAGAGGAGAGGAGGUUGAGAUGAGGGGUGGUGGACAGGAGGGUUCGAUGACAGAAGUACAUAGAGGCGGGGAGAAGAGAGGAGUGAGGGAGAGGUCAAUAAGGUGGAGUGGAUGGACGGGGAUGAAGAAGACAUGAUGGCGUCUGAACGGGGGGACCCUGGUUUUUACACGUUCGUCCGACACUUUGGGAAGAUGGGUCCUCCUUCAAGCCUUCUCUUUCUUACUGUGAACAAAGAUAGAAAGGGGGAGAGAGAGAGAGAGAGAGAGAGAGAGAGAGAGAGAGAGAGAGAGAGAGAGAGAGAGAGAGAAAAAACAUAAGACACAGAAGAGAGAAGGGGGUAGGUGAGAUUAGAAAUAGGUAACACAUACUGUUAUGACUACAGUUCAAGCCGAGUGUUGGAGGCUUAGAGAUUAUAAAGUCUUCCAAUUGAGACUUCUUCACAAGGUGGGGACGCUUCGCGCUCUUGACAAGGGCUUCUGAAACCCUCUGAGGACCAGAAAGACAAUGAAUUGGGACCCAUUUUGGGUCUGCACCCAGUGCUAUGAGACCCUGCUCUAGAGUAGAACACAUCCCAUCGGUUCUCAUGAAAGAGUAAGUGGUUGUUGUUUUAACGAGUGUUCAAGCAGGCAGGCUGGGCAGAGACACAGAGGAGACCAAGCACUUCUCUACAAGUGGCUGUCACAGUCAAGAGCUGAGAUCAUCUCCUUCAGGAGUUUAGACCUCUAGAGAGGAGAGCAGAGGAGAGGAGAGAGGUGAGGGGAGGAGAGAAGAAGAAGAAGGUGACAUCAUGGAAAGCAGCUAUCUUCUGGAGCAAGGAAAAGAGAAGAGAAGAUGUGGAAGACGAGGGUGCAUCCAUUUUAUGAUCAGCACAAGAGACAUUCUGAAGAAGAGGAGGAGGAGGAGGACUAGUUUCCUCGGGCAGGAGGGAGCAGGACAGCAGCAGAGGUCGCAGCGUGGCAGCCCAGAGGUCAGAGGUCAUUACUUGGUACGGGGCUUGAACUUCUUCCCCAGGGCGCGCUCCAGCUCCGCUACGGAGAGGGUGAGGGUGAAGGAGCCGUCAGUGCCAGGGUCACACCGGACCACCCGGGCUAGCACCACCACGGAGCACACGUUAGGACGCACAGACACACACACACACACACACACAUACACACGUCACACGGACACACACACACAAACUCAGAACGUCUGUCAUAAUCCAGGAGGGCAGUUUGAUUGGCCGGGGCUGACCAGGAGGUGUUCCUGACUGAUGACAUCCAGAUGUUACAGGUGUGGUCAGCGCGUUGUAUUCAGCGCACCUUGAACUGACCAAAGUGAUGUUUAAUUGACAUAUCACGGGCCACCUAAAUGCUGGUCGGAGUCAUGUGUGCAUGUGUAUAGAUGAAUGUGCUUGUGCAUGUGUGUUCGUACGUAUGUGUAUGUAUUAAUGUGUGUGUGUGUGUGUAUGUGCAUGCAUGUGCGUACAUUAAUGUGUCUGUGUAUAUUAAUGCCCAUGUGCAUAUGUGCAUCUGCGUGUGCAUGUUUGUGUUUGUGUGUUUGUAUUAAUGUGCGUGUGCGUGUGUUUCUGCAUGUGUGUGCGUGGGAAUUAACGUGUGUGUAGGUGUGCAUGCGUGUGUAUGAAUGUGGUUGUGUGUGUGUAUUAAUGUGUGCAUGUGUGUGUGUAUGUGUGUAUGCGUGAGUAUUAAUGUACGUGUGUGUGUGUGUGUGUGUGUGUGUGUGUGUGUGUGUGUGUGUGUGUGUGU